rnacentral:misc_RNA from 1 species
GCAAAUUGAUUUGAAACAUCAAAUUCCUACCCACAAUAUCCAAUCAGCCCUUGACAUCAAAAGCAUGAUAUUAUCUUAACCCAGAUGUGUUAAGCAGCAGUAAAGUGUAUCCCCUUUGGAGAUGUAAAUAAAAUGAGGAACAUAAGAAGAACCUGAUAGCUGUAACAGAUUCACAAACGAAUACCCAUUUCAUAGAUUUAAUCAAUUACCCAUUGAAACCAAUCAAACAAGCAUUUGUAAUCAUUAUCCACAGACACAUCAUCCAUUAAUCAAAUGAACAUAAUUGCAAAAUCAU